CCUACGGGCGGCUGCCGUGGGGAAUAUUGGACAAUGGGGGGAACCCUGAUCCAGCCAUGCCGCGUGUGUGAAGAAGGCCCUCGGGUUGUAAAGCACUUUCAGUGAGGAAGAACGCCUGGUGGUUAAUACCCAUCAGGAAAGACAUCACUCACAGAAGAAGCACCGGCUAACUCCGUGCCAGCAGCCGCGGUAAUACGGAGGGUGCGAGCGUUAAUCGGAAUUACUGGGCGUAAAGCGCGCGUAGGUGGCUUGAUAAGCCGGUUGUGAAAGCCCCGGGCUCAACCUGGGAACGGCAUCCGGAACUGUCAAGCUAGAGUGCAGGAGAGGAAGGUAGAAUUCCCGGUGUAGCGGUGAAAUGCGUAGAGAUCGGGAGGAAUACCAGUGGCGAAGGCGGCCUUCUGGACUGACACUGACACUGAGGUGCGAAAGCGUGGGUAGCAAACAGGAUUAGAUACCCGAGUAGUC
rnacentral:rRNA from 1 species